rnacentral:lncRNA from 1 species
UUAAUUGUUAGUAAAAAUUUAAUUAUUUAAUUAAAAAAAAAAACAAUCAUAUGUGGUCAAACCUGUUAUACAAUACAGCUCACCAAUCAACAUUUAAUAUGUAAUCAACCAUCAUAAGAAUACAAACAUUAAAGAUCAAAUAAUUAACACAAAAUUUAUCAACGUUCCAAAAAUAAACUACAAAACAUACAAAAGAUUAUAAAGCUACAACUCGUCAUCCUCAUUCUCAGUCCCAUCCUCAGACAUAGAAUCUGAAUCCUUUGUGGUGUAAUAAUCAUCCAGAGGGCUUAGGCCUUUCGCAGUCCGAGGUGCAUCACCAGGACAAGGAGGAAGAAUCCGUGCAGAUUGAAGAAAAUAAUUGAUCUGCUCCUGCAUCAUUCUUAUUUGUGAUUACACUUAAACAUUUUCAAGUCAAUAAUUCACUUCUCAAAUGACCGCACUUAACUAAUUCAAAACACAAGUUCACCUUUCAAGUAACUACACUUAAACAUUUUUAAGUCACUAAUUCACUUCUCAAGUGACCACACUUUACUAAAUUCAAAAUAAAAGUUCACCUUUCAAAUAACUAAAUUCAAAACACAAGUCACUAAUUCAUAAUUCAAGUCCAUACACUUAAACAUUUUCAAGUCACUAAUUCACCUCUCAAGUGACCACACUUAACAUUUUCAAGUCAUGAAUUCACAUUUCAAGUGACCACACUUAAAUAAAUUCAAAACACAAGUUCACAUUUCAAGUAACUUUAAAUAUUUUUAAGUCACUAAUUCACUUCUCAAGUGACCACACUAAUUCAAAACAAAAGUUCACCUUUCAAGUAACUAAAUUUAAAACACAAGUCACUAAUCCAUAAUUCAAGUCCAUACAUUGAAACAUUUUUCAAGUCACUAAUUCACUUCUCAAGUGACCACACCUAACCAUUUUCAAGUCAUGAAUUCACAUUUCAAGCGGCUACACUAAACUAUUUUCAAAUCACUAACUCACUUCUCAAGUGACCAUACUUAAACAUUUUCAAGUCACUAAUUCACUUCUCAAGUGACCUCACUUAACCAUUUUCAAGUCAUGAAUUCACAUUUCAAGCGACUACACUAAACCAUUUUUAAAUGACUAAUUCACUUCUCAAGUGACCACACUUAAAUAUUUUCAAGUCACUAAUUCACUUCUCAAGUGACCACACUUAACUAAAUUCAAAACACAAGUUCACAUUUCAAGUAACUACACUUAAAUAUUUUCAAGUCACUAAUUCACUUCUCAAGUGACCACACUUUACUAAAUUAAAAAAAAAAAGUUCACCUUACAAGUAACUAAAUUCAAAACACAAGUUACUAAUUCAUAAUUCAAGUCCAUACACUCAAACUUUUUCAAGUUCCUAAUUCACUUAAGUGACCACAUUUAACCAUUUUCAAGUCAUGAAUUCACAUUUCACGUGACUACACUAAACCAUUUCAAACCACUAAUUUACUUCACAAGUGACCACACUUAAACAUUUUCAAGUCACUAAUUCACUUUUCAAAUGACCACACUUAACUAUUUUCAAGUCAUGAAUUCACAUUUCAAGCGACUACACUAAACCAUUUUCAAAUCACUAACUCACUUCUCAAGUGACAAGACUUAAACAUUUUCAAGUCGCUAAUUCACUUCUCAAGUGACCGCACUUAACUAAAUUCAAAACACAAGUUCAUAUUUCAAGUAACUACACUUCAACAUUUUCAAGUCACCACUUCUCAAGUGACCACACUUUACUAAAUUCAAAACAAAAGUUCAUCUUUCAAGUAACUAAAUUCAAAAAGCAAGUCACUAAUUCAUAAUUCAAGUCCAUAUACUUAAACAUUUUCAAGUCACCAAUUCACUUCUCAAGUGACCACACUUAACUAAAUUCAAAACACAAGUUCACAUUUCAAGUAACUACACUUAAACAUUUUCAAGUCACUAAUUCACUUCUCAAGUGACCACACUUUUCUAAAUUCAAAACAAAAGUUCACCUUUCAAGUAGCUAAAUUCAAAACACAAGUCACUAAUUCACAAUUCAAGUCACCAAUUCACUUCAAGUGACCACACUUAACUAAAUUCAAAACACAAGUAAAGACCUUUUCUUACUAGGUGUAAUCCGUUGGACAUAGACCCAAUUUUUCACUUUUUUGGAUUCCUUGAAUUUUUUUUUCCUGUUUCUGAUGGUUUGGCUUAUAGUUAUUCAAGUACAGAUACCUUCCUCUCCUAACCAACCUUUUCUAAAAUACUAAAAAAAAUCCCUUUUUUUGUAAAUUCUUUUGUUUUUUUCUUCGACAAAUUGCACGAGGCCUAUGCUUUUUUGAAUCCAAUUAUAGAUAUUAUGCCAGUCAUACUUCUGUUCUUUUUUCUCUUAGCCUUUGUGUUUUCAAGUAACUACAUUUAAACAUUUUCAAGUCACUAAUUCACUUUUCAAGUGACCACACUUUACUAAAUUCAAAACAAAAGUUCACCUUUCAAGUAAUUAAAUUCAAAACUCAUGUCACUAAUUCAUAAUUCAAGUCCAUACACUUAAACAUUUUCAAAUCACUAAUCCACUUUUCAAGUGACCCCAUUUAACCAUUUUCAAGUCAUGAAUUCACAUUUCAAGCGACUACACUGAAUCAUUUUCAAAUCACUAAUUCACUUCUCAAGUGACCACAUCUAAACAUUUUCAAGCCACUAAUUCACUUCUCAAGUGACCACACUUAACUAAAUUCAAAACACAAGUUCACCCUUCAAGUAACUAAGUUCAAAAUACAAGUCACCAAUCGUAAUUCAAGUCCAUACACUUAAAUAUUUUCAAGUCACUAAUUCAUUUCUCAAGUGACUAAAUUCAACUAAAUUCAAAACACAAGUUCAUCUUUCAAGUAACUAAAUUCAAAACACAAGUCACUAAUUCAUAAUUCAAGUCAAUACACUUAAACGCUUUCAAGUCACUAAUAAAGUCAAACAAUUUCAAUAGAUCUAAUAAAGCAAAUAAGUAAAGGAGUCGCAUGUCCCUCUCACACCAUAUAAUCAUCAAAAAACCUAUAGCUUUCAAAGCCUUCUACAGCAAACAAUUCAACCAUAACACUACAUUUAAAGACUUCACUAUAAGAAAAUAGAGAGAAAUCAACUUACCUUUGCUUGGCCUAAGUUGAAGAGAAAGAGAAAGUCAAUCACCACAAAAUAACAAAGCAAUCCUUUUCACUGCUCUCACAAGAAACAACACCUACUAACGUCGAUCUAUCGGUAAAAAUAAAAAGGAACAAUUCAGUAAACUCAAGAAAAAACUCAAAAAGGGUCUCAAGAAAACUCAAAAUUUAUAAUAAGUAUUUUAUCAUGAGUACUCUUUCCUUCCUUACAAGAUUAACAAAAUGACAAUAACAUCUUAUCCAUUUCUUAGCCAUUUCUCUUCGAUGAAACUUAAAAAAUAUCUGCAACUUUAAUUCUUUUUGUUUCUGUUCAUAACAUACAAUGUCAUACAUGUUAGUAGAGUAACAUUUUGUGACAAAUUUAUUUUAUUUGAAUACUAUAAUUGUAGAGGGAGCUUAUGGUUAUGGAGAUCUAUUCAAGCAAGCUUAUGGCCUGAAAAAAACAACACUAAGCAUAACACUCUUCAACAAUGGUGCAACCUGUGGAGCUUGCUUUCAAUUAAUGUGUGUCGAUGCUCUUCAAUCGUGUCAUCCAGGGAAAAAAUUAGAACUAUAACCGCCACCAAUUUCUUCCCUCUAGAUUACUCAAAAACUAAAGAUAUUUGGUGCAUUCCUCCACAAGAACACUUUGAUCUGUCGAUGCCUAUGUUCUUAGAUAUUUCCAAGUACGAAGAAGGAGUUGUCCCAGUAUUUCUUAGCCAUUUCUCUUCCUUCCAACACACACAAAACUCACAAAAAUCAAAUAAAGCAAAAGGGGUUUUCUGUCCCUGACCUUGUCGGAGUAUUUGGCCGCAAGUCGCCGGAGUUCUGUGAUUGAGCUAACUGUGCCAGAGUUUUCCAUCGCUGAGUGGCUACAAGUCACCGGAGAGAGAUACCAUCCCCGUCGCAAGUCUCAAGGGUUGGGUUUAGUUGGGUAUUUCUCACUAAGUCUCAAGGGUUGUGUUAGAGGGGAUAAAGGGUAAUUUUUAUGGGUCAGGUCGGGUCAUG